rnacentral:misc_RNA from 1 species
AACGCACGAGACCUGCGGACCUGCGGAAGGAUCAUUAAUGAGUUGCAAAACUCCCUAAACCAUUGUGAACCUACCUGUACCGUUCCUUCGGCGGGCGGCGUCAAGCCCUAACCCGUCUCCCUUUACGGGGGAUGGACCCGCCGGAGGCUCCUAAACUCUUAACUUUUGUUGGCAUCUCUGAGUAGAUCAAAAUAAGUCAAAACUUUCAACAAUGGAUCUCU